rnacentral:lncRNA from 1 species
UUGAAUCAUAAAUUUGAACUUGAAUCAAUAGUAAGAUUUGUCAUUUACAAGCAUGAACCAUAAGCAUUAGCAUUGCAUGAAUCAUUUUGCAUAAAUCUAUUUCCUAGUUCUAUUACAUCAUGUUACAUUGUUACAAUACAUUUGAAUAACAAUUGGAAAUAAAAAAAAAACAUCUUGAUUGAAUUCCAUACCAACUCAUACAUUUCAAUCACCAUCCCAAAAUCCUGCUACAAGACCAAGACAAACCGGGCUGCAAUAAGUGUCCAACAUGAAACUUGCAGCAAUACAACCUGACUUGCAAGUCAGGAACCAACCUGAACCAAGUUCAACACCAACUGAACCACAAGCACUGCAGCAAACCAUUUCCUCGAGCUAGACCUGCAGGGCAUAACACCAAGCAUUUGCAUCAACAACUCAUGGCCAUCUGCAACAAUUAUCAUGUAGAAAAACAGAGCAAGGAAAAAAAUGAUAGCAUCAACUACAAUGCAAAAGUUCAAACUAAACAGUUCAAUACAUUUAAUCCAAACUAACCAUAUCCAAUUUUAGCAAGUUUAACUAACAUGGUAGUAUUUGACGUAGUUGUAUCGUAUUGUCUUUUUAGAUACACAUAACAAACCAUGAUAGGAAAUCAAUCCACAAAUCACUAACAAUGCAUUCAUACUUCAGUUCAUGUCCAAAAUCAAUUAACAUUAAUAUCAAGCAUGACCCUUAACCAACUCAAUAAAUGCAUUUCAAACAAACUUAAACCAGUCCCAAACCCUUUGAAUAAACCAAGCCCAAAAGAAACUGGUUCACUAAUGCAGCCAAUCUAAUCCAAAUAAGAUAUUUCAACAUUUUUCAUUUUCGAACUCAUUCAAAUAAACUCAGAAUUUCAUGUCCAACUCAUCAAUUGAUUCCCCAAUGUAUGUGUUAGGGUUCUUGAGCAUUUAGGUUGGAUUUAGGGGAUGUGAUACAAAUUAGAUGGAAUUAGUGGAGGAUUUGGUUAGAAUGAAGCGAGAUGGUUUGAAUGACAUAAGAUUCGAGGCGUUUUGCCCUAUACCGCCGCCAGAGGCGAUUGCUGGCGCGGUGGAGGCAUUGUGUUCAGACCAAAGGUUUUGAGGAGG